rnacentral:rRNA from 1 species
UACGUAGGCAGCGAGCGUUGUUCGGAGUUACUGGGCGUAAAGAGUGCGUAGGCGGUUGGCUAAGUUUGGUGUGAAAUCUCCCGGCUCAACUGGGAGGGUGCGCCGAAAACGUGGCUGGCUGGAGUGUGGGAGAGGCUAGCGGAAUUCCUGGUGUAGCGGUGAAAUGCGUAGAUAUCAGGAGGAACACCUGCGGUGUAGACGGCUGGCUGGACCACUACUGACGCUGAGGCACGAAAGCGUGGGGAGCAAACAGG